ACUGUGCAGAUGGGAGGGGAAGCUAGGAAUAGGAGGAUAGAGAAGAGAAGGAGAAGUAAACACAGCUAAGAUGCAAUAUGUGUAUGUACCAAUUCCCCAUGAUGAAUUAUUAUAAUGUAUCACAAACAUAUAUCAAUAAAAUGACUGUUAUAAGAAAGACUCAUUCUAAUUUAAGUAAAAAAGAUAAAAGAUUUGCGUCUACACUGAGUAAAUUACAUAUACACAUGAAGUCUGAAGGAAAACAUAAGAAAAUUUUCUAUGAUAGAAUAUUAUUUUUCAUAUAUCUACUGGUAUAAUAUUAUUUAUUCAAAUAAAAAAUUAUAAUAUGGUUAAGAACAUAUCCCUUAGGUAACAAACAGAGGUUGGCUUCUGGGCAGAGAACUCCAAUACUUUGGCUUGUUGGGCCUAAAAUGUACCAGAUCCUUCACAAUACAGAACUGAGUAGCAGUUACCCAAACAUGCUACUGUUAUCUCCUUUGCUUCACCCUUCUUUUCUGUUGGUGACAUGGACUUUUUGGAACUCGAUUACGUACCGCCACAAUCCUUUAUGACAACAUGAAGAGCCAAAGUUUUUGGAAACUGACUUUGGGGCUAAAAGUCACCUGUGAGUAAAACCUACCCUAAAGUUACACGAGGAUAUCAAUAGCCCUUAUCCCAGUGACAGGGAACACCUGCACUUAAAACGAAGGUUCUGGAGCAAGGCUUGGGGAAUAUAAUACCACAAGACAGAAUGGAUGGCGAGAAGAAAGUAGGAAAGAACAGAGGGAAGACCUGGUCCUCGUGCCGUGUACAUGCAGCAUAGCCUCUUCUCAGCGAGCUGGAAGCAGUUCACCCAUGCAGUUACCCAGUCAUUCCACUCAGUGUCCUCAGAGCUUGCUCCGGAUUCUGAGGACAGAGCGGGAAUAAGAGCGGUGAAAGAAGCCUGUUCCAGAUUCCUAGGACUGAUUUCCUUGUGACAAAAGAGACACAUGGAAGAGAAAGCCUUGUGCACCAG